UACGUAGGGGGCAAGCGUUGUCCGGAUUUAUUGGGCGUAAAGAGCUCGUAGGCGGCUCGAAAAGUCGGCGGUGAAAACUCGGGACUCAACUCCGAGGCGCCCGUCGAUACUGUCGAGCUUGAGUCCGGUAGGGGAGUGUGGAAUUCCUGGUGUAGCGGUGAAAUGCGCAGAUAUCAGGAGGAACACCGAUGGCGAAGGCAGCACUCUGGGCCGGCACUGACGCUGAGGAGCGAAAGCUAGGGGAACAAACAGG
rnacentral:rRNA from 1 species